CUACCUUUCUUCUCAAGCUAUUUCUAGAACUUGGUGUAAUCCUUCUUCAUGUGUCCCUUCUUUUUAUACAAGAAACACUUGGAUUCCUUUUUUAUUCCACCUUAGGGCGAUAUUUUACCUUUUCUCUUCUUUUUGGCUCGAUUUUGGUCCUUUCCUUGUGAGGCCAUCAACGCUCUUUUACCAUUUCCAUUGUCAGUCUCCCUUCUUCCUGAACACAUAUGGCUAGAAGUUCAUUAAUUGACCACUUAUCCUUAUGUGUCUUAUAGGAUAUCUUGAAGGGUCCAUAUUGAUGUGGAAUUGUUCAGAAUGUAGUGCACAAGGAAAGAUUCAAACCAUAUCAACCUCAAGAGUCUACAAUUGAGCCACAAUGUCCCUUAUUUGCAUGAUGUGCUCACGCACACCUCUCAUAGUAAUGGUCCUCGUGGAUGAAAACUUCAUAAUUAGGGUGCUGGCAAGUGCUUUAUUUGAAGUCUCAAACUGCUCAUCAAUAGCCUUCAGCAAUACGUUAACAUUUUUAUGCUCUUCGACAAAACCAAGAAUACCAGCAAAAAUCUUGGCCUUUAUGAACAUCAUACUAAGGCGACUGGAUCGCUCCCAUCAUUCAUAAAGAGUAAUUUCAUUCGGAGUGAUUUUUAGUUCAUCUUUCCUAACAACAUAAUCAAUGUCCAUCCAUCCAAAAUAAAGAAGAAU
rnacentral:lncRNA from 1 species